UUACGGCCAUAUCACGUUGAAACACCGGUUCGCGUACGACCACCGAAGUAAGCAACGUCGGGUCUAGUCAGUACCUACUUGGGUUACCGCUUCGGAACACCAGGGGCUGUAAG